ensembl:lncRNA
AUUUCAAGUGCUUCAUUGAAUAACGUAUUUCAAAUGAAAAGAUUAAUUACAUAUCAGUACACGUGUCUAUUUCAUUUAGUCAGAAGACUUCUACAGUGUUAUUCAAAGCCACUUUCACAGAUUUGCAUCUAAGCGCCAUUGCUGAGAGUUCUCUCCCUCCCCCAAUCCUCAGCAAAAAUACAUCAUGUUGGCUUUGUUAAUGGUGAAAUAUUUAGUACACUUAACCUCAGUUUCUUUUAGUGUUUUGAUGACUGCUGCCCUGCUUUCUUGCCAUGAUGAAGUGCUGGGGCUGGAGCUCCUUGUCAGAGGACUUUGCAAUAUGAAGUGAGCAGGUGCAGCCCACAGGGGCUGUGUAACCAAGGUGCUGCCAUCUGGUCUAGGGCAGAAACCUGCUGAACCCAGUAUCCUGGUUUCAAAGCAAGGAGAAGUUGCAGCAAGUUUUAUACUGAGCAUGUGAGAAAUAGGAGGGCUGUUCCCAAAGUAAUGCCUCCUGUUUUGUAAUGUUGGCACAUGACAUCAGAGGCGGAUGUUGGUGGUAUGGCAGUAGAGGCUGAACCUUCCCAUCAACAUCCUGUUACCUGUUGUUGCCAUGUGACAGAUGGCAGCAGAGGGGCAGUCUGACAGAAUGGCAUCUGACACUGAAAUGUGUAUGAAGCAAUGGAGUGUCACUGAGUUCCUUCGUGUGGAAAAAAAACGGUACCCACUGACAUUCAUCAUAGAAACACAGAAUCAUAAAGUUGGAAAAGACUUAAGAUGAUCUUGAUCUGAACCUGGGGGAGGUUCAAGCUGGAUAUCAGGAACAAAAUUCUUCUCCAAAAAUGUGGUGAGGCAUUGCAACAGGCUGCCCAGGGAGGUGAUGGAGUCACCAUCCCUGGAGAUGUUCAGGGAAAGGAAAUGUGGCACUGAGGGACGUGGUCAGUGGGCACGGUGGGGAUGGGCUGAUGGUUAGACUAGAUAGAUGAUCGCAGAGGUCUUUUCCAGUGUUAGUGAUUCCAUGAUUCUAUGUUUCUAUGAUUCUAUAUUCCUAUGAUUCUAUGUUUCUAUGAUUCUGUGUUUCCCUAUUCUGGCAAGGAGAGCAGUGGCACAGUGUGAUGGGUAACACGGGGUUUUAUGGCCAAGUGAAAUAAUGGAUGUUGGAGUGGAGGUUACAGUGUAAACAUGCACUCAGAUACCAAAGUAAUGAACAUAGCAUAAAUAUUUAGAUGUGUUCCUACAUCUAAUUCUUGGCCUCAUAAUUCUCGUGUCAAAUAGUUUAUAAAAGGCAAAACUGUAUUUCAGUUACAGGUUCGGCUUCAUAAUUCUUAAGGUUAAUUAAGGCAGCCAAAUGUGCUUCAUGCCUGUCUGCUGUGGCUGUGUAGCUGUACAGAGUUGUGUAUCAUUAAAGGCUUUUCCUAUCAGUGACUGUAACAACAGUGACUAUCAGCACAUAUGUAUCUUAGUGUUUAGCCUAGGUGACAAGCAGCAGCAAUGUGCACUGUCCCUAUGUCUCAGAUAAACAUAAUGUCACUUGUGUGUAUGCAGCAAGUAAAGGAAGAGUUAAUGACAGCCUUAGAUCCUGUUAUGUGAUGUGAACACAACUGGAACACAGGUAGCACAGAAACAGUGUGUGCCCUGAUGCCAACCUGUGCCUACUCCUCCCUCCUUCAGCUGCCCCUUGCUGUGCUCUCUGGGGACAGUGAAUAUCUCCCAGGCUGGGGCUGGCAGGGAGCAGGAAUAUCUCUGGUAGGGCUGCAUGGACAGGCCAGCAUCACACCACAGGGCAUCUCCUGGGGCCUGAGGCUGGGCUGCUCCUGAUGUCUCAGUGCCUCCUACUUGGGAUUAGAUGAGUGCCAGUGUUUUUAAGGAUGGCAAGGAGCCUUAUCGAGCCUCUACAUCUGCCCCAGAUGCUUUACAUUCCAGUGAUGUGCCACAGAUGUGCUGAACCCUACAGCACAAAGACUACAGCAUCUCACUGUCCCCAGGGCCAGCAGUUGCUGGUAGGCUCCAUCCCAGACACAGUGGACAGGAGCAGCGUCGUUGCCAAAGAUGUCCCAUGGAGUCAAUAGCAGGUGACACAGCCCUGCCCCUCACCUGUGUCAGCUGGACCACGCGUUGGGUGCCUCCUGUGCAGGGAACAGCAAAGUUCAGGCAAACAGAAGGGAGAGGAGGAGUGUUUUCCAGCCUGGCAGCUCUGAGAGUGCAUUGAGAGUCCAUCGUUGGGUUUCAGCUUGAGUUGCUCUGCAGUGGGGCGUGCCCUGGGGAGCAACCUGCUCCCAAAGGACUCAAUAAUUCAGCAUAUCAUCCUCCCAAGUGCUGGUGUCUCUCACCCCAGUGUUUCACCACUUCAUCGCUGCAUCAACGCAAUUCAUGCCCCAUCACUCUAUCUCCCAUUUCUUGGUGUUGCGCCCUUUUGGGGCUUCUUUCUCUUUAAGAGGAAACUCGGCGGAAGCCGAGCUAUUCAAUAUUGUUUCGUAUUAUUUGGUUGUGAAACAAUUUAAUUUGUUUAUGGCUCUAAAGGUCAGAUUUGACUGUUACCCAAAUUUCUGAAGAAUAAAGAAUGAAUCAGGCUGAAGGGGAUUUUGUGGCAUGAUAAAACGGAGAAAGAGAAGGGGGCUAGUGAGAAUAUUUAACUGGAACAGCAAGGCAAACUUACCUUCAGCUCAGGUUUAAAAGCCUAGUCAAUCAUUAGACAUUUUUUAUUAUUUACCUGGUACAAAAUCCCCCCAGGAGAAGAAGUAGAAAAACUCACAGGCCACAUUCUUGCAAAUUUUAGUAGCUUGCCCAACAUUUUCUUUCUUUUUUUCUUUUUCUUUUCUGUGAUUCAGAACAAUUUGAGUGGUACAGAUCACAUAGGUGCAUUCACAGAUCAGAAACAAGGAGGAAGCGCACGGUGGUUGUGGAUCCAAGCAGGGGAUGUUUGUAACAGUGAUGAGAGCAGGGCCAGCCCGGGACUUUGAGAAGGAAGGUGAUUCUCACACAGUGAGCAGAAGACAAAGGUUGCAUUUACACCUGGCCAGAGGUUUAAUCAUCUACCAUUUCCAAACAUUGCAGGCUCACAGUCUGUUGUGUCUGAGAUCAUAAAACAUAUCACAAACUGGAGACAAGAAAGCUGGGGCUUGAUUGACCAGAGCUUAUCUUUUCUUUUUCCUACUUCUUAUUUUUCACUCAAUUUUCUGCUUAAAGAAAGAAAGAAAGAAAGAAAGAAAGAAAGAAAGAAAGAAAGAAAGAAAGAAAGAAAAAGGAAAAGAAAAAGAAAAAGAAAAAAAGAAAAAGAAAAAGAGAGAGAAAAAAAAGCAUUUUCAAAAGGACUUGUGAUCCCUAAAUGCUUACCUGAUACAGCAGAAAACACGAUGCAAAGUAAUUCUGAAAACCAGGGAGGAUUUCUAUUCCUCUCUGCCUCCCCACUCCAGGUGCUGGGGAGCCCACCUGGCUGCCCAAAGCUCCAUCCCAGGCUUUCAGGGAGAAGAGAAACUGAGGAAAAGUGACCAAAAGGUGGAGAGAAAUAUUCAAAGAGGAAUGGGUAGAAGCCUCUCUCAUGGAUUAGUUUUCCAGGUCCUAACAUAACAACAUCCAACACUGAACCAUCUGAACCUGAAUCUGUAGGCAGCUUUCGUCUUUUUUUUUUUUGGUGUGUGGAUGUUUGAAUUAUGGCAAUGUUUUAAGGAGAGUCUGGAUGUGAUGGGAGGGGUUUUUUUUUUUUUUGGAACGUUUGCAGCAUUUUUGCACUUCUUGUAUGCAGUUGGUUUCUUCUGAUCUCGUAGCCCAGCGCUGCCAGUGAGGCUGGCAGGUCUGUUGGGCAAGACCAGUGACUCCCAUGGCAAAGAGAGGCCAUUCCUGCUUCCUUCUCCUGAUGGCCUCUGCAGGGUCAUUGCCCUUAGCUGAGCAACUGCAGCCAGGCUGUGGGCAGGAGCGGGGACUUAAAACACAUGGGGUUUCCCACUGAUAGUUGUGAUGGGCUGUAGGAGUGUGGAAUGACCAGGGCAUGGCCACAGCUGUCAUCCCUCCUGAGGGCUGGGCCUGCGGUGUUCAGGAGGGACCUGGAAGAGGGGAUGUUCCUUUGCACCUCAUUUGGGUGCUUCAGUGCUGAUUCAUCAAAGCACUUAGCGCCAGGAGGAGGAACCCGCCCUGUUGGGAUGAAGGUUUGCACUGCUGACUUCAAAGGGGGCCCGAUUUAACCCUUUAACUUCAGUGGGGUUUGGGACCCUGUUUGAAGGUAAGCACAUGAUACUGCAGGGUUGGAAGGGGACAUAAAUACCUUGAAGGUCUUGAGUGUCAUCAUCAUGGUGCCUUUGUGUGUGUUCUGCCUGCCAGCUCUGUAACCACUUCAGAAAACGGGGUGGGAGCAAUGGGAGCUUCCCGAAGACAAGCUCAUCAAUCAAAGCAGGAUGGAGGGCCAUCUGCCCCUGGCAUGGCCAGGUGCCCUCAGGGUGUCCCUUGCCUUCCUGGGGCUGCCCUCGACCUGAUAAGGAGAGUGACAUCUUUGAUGUCACCUGGGGCAGCAGUCACACACAGUUGCAUAAUCAAGGUCGCAGGAAAAUUACACAAAACUUUGCCCACAUCUAUUGGAAAAAUCUGAAGCACUUGCAAAAAGAAAAAAAAAAAAAAAGAAGAAGAAAAAGAAAAAAAAAAACCCUAACCCCAAACUCCUAUCCAUGCCACCACCACACCACGCUGGAUGGAACGCUGCAGUGCUGAGCUUUCCCUUUACCAUACCCUAGAAGUUUUAAUGAAAAAAUGUAAUAUGGGCAUAAAGGCAAUUAAAAGUUCUCACUGACAGCCACAUGAACUCAGCUCUGUGGUUUUCCCUCUCUCCCCUUCAGAUAAAGUUUCAAUUACACCAUGAUAAUGUGUGAAUAUAAGACGCAAUCAUCUCAUACUUCGCAUUGCUGAGUGCUGUCUGUCUGAGGAUUUUAAGGGGUGAAUUGGGUUUCACGUGCCCUCAGGAGCUACCGAGUAUUUGCGAGGCUGCUUGCAAAAAAUGAAAUAGCUACUUUGAGAAUUUGUACAUGAAAAUAAUGAGAAGAAUUUUCGGAAUGUGUCUUGGAGAAAUUUCUGCUCUUCCAUCUUCCCCAUGUUGAUAAAAUUUACAUUGAAAAUCACUUCCCCCCUUCCCCCCCCCCUUUGUUUCUUGCCGUUUUGUCUUAUCAUAUUUCUUUUUUCUUCUUUCUUUUUUCUUCUUUCUUUUUUUCUUCUUUCUUUUUUCUUUUUUCUUCUUUCUUUUCUCCUCUCUUGUUUGUGACAAAAAGCAAGUCGUGGAGGCAGCUUACAACCAAGACAUCUGUAGCAUGAAAGAGGCCAGGACUAAAAAGCGAAGCAAGAGAAGAAAAACUGAAGACAUUUUACAGAAUAACUAAGAAAAAGCUUUAGAAAGCUUAUGAAGCCCAUAAGGCCUCAUAGGUGCUGAGGGGGCCACAGGCCCAGAGCUGUUUGCCCAGCUGGGCAGGUGAGAGCCCAGUUUCCCAGCUGCCCCCAAGCGCUCUCGUCUCCUGGUGAUUCAGUGGCACGUCAUGGUAUCAGAUACAGGAUGAGGCUGUCUGCAACACCCGUCUUUCCUCUCUCUGUCACUCAAUUGGAGACAAUGAGCGACAUGCCAGAGAUUUUACAUCACCAAAAUCGGUGUGGCGCAAAGGUCCAGGCGGAGUUGCACAAUGCAUCAUGAUGCCUCUUCAGAACUCUCAAGUCUUUAAGUCUUAAGGCUGAAACGUGCAUUUCUGACUUGACUCUCUCAUGGCAUAGUACUGUCCCUGUAUUCUGAGUGGGUUCCUUCCAAAUUCUGAUCUGCUGAAACUCUCCUCAAAGCCUCUCCCACCUUCACUGACUGUUGGUAUUUCUGGUCAUGAGAAUAUUAAGACAGAAUCUUUUAGCUUCUUCCACAGACCCACAUAAAUUAAGAGCUCAAAAUAUCAUCUGCUACUCCACUGCUUUAUAAGCUCUUAAGUUGAGACGUGCCAGAAAUGAUCUUUUAUCCUGACUGCAGAAAGAGCUCAGUCUUUUUGACUUUCACAUCAUACCUGGAAGAAUGACUUACAUCUGUCUUCCUAACUUUAGAAGUCCAGUGAGCUCUUUCCCCCACUUUGGGGACAACUGAGGAAGCUGUUAGUAAACAUCCACAUUGCUUUCCUAUGCCCUGUCAUCUGAAAGACUGUUCCCCUUAAUCACAUCCAUAAACCAGGUAGCUUAAUGAUAGUACAGGAGUUUAAGUGUGAACACAAUUCAUCCUUAUUCAGUUUGCAUUGUGCUUUAGAGAACAACAGCAACAACAAAAGUUGGUCCAAGUGGGCCACCCAGAGCAGGAUGCCCAGGCCCAUGUCCAGGUGGCUUAUGAAGGUCUCCAAGGAGGAGCUUCUGGGCAGCCUGUGCCAGUGCUCUGUCACCCGCACAGCACAGAAAUGCUGCCUGGUGUUCAGUGGGAACUUCUUGUGUUCCAAGCUGUGUUCAUUGCUGCUGGCUCUGGGCACCACUGGAAGGUGCACGGCCCCAUCCUUUUUGCUCCUUGCCUUCAGGUAUUUAUAGGCAUUGGUGAGAUUCCUUGGAGCCUUCUCCUGGCUGAACAGCUCCACCUCUCUCAGCCUCUCCUCACAGGAAAGGUGCUCCAGCCCCAGUGCCAUUUUCACGGCCCUUUAUUGGACUCCCUUCAGUAUGCCCAUGUCUCUUGCAUUGGGGAACCCACAACCGAACCCAGCACUCCAGGUGUGGCCUCACCAGUGCUGAGCAGAUGGGAAUCAACAAGAAUCUGGUGAAACCCGCUCCUGACUCAUGGGAGCGGCUGGAUGGCUGCAGGGCCAUCAAAAGGAUACAGGGCUGGAAAACCAAUAAAUCCAGCAAGGCCUCUUGGCUGCUUUGUGCAGAGAUGUAACGGCACCGGCUGGAGUAUACUGCUCCUUUACAUACCUCGAGCGGCUGCUGUCACCCGCAGAACAUUUCUUGUAUCAGCAGAACUGCUCAUCGGCUAUAAUUUUUGUUGAAAUAUCUCGCUUUAAACUUAGAGAGCACCAAUGGAGGCCUCAAAUCUGUAAAUCAGCUGCACUUUGGAAAACAAAUCAUCGCGGUGGAGUUUUGCCAAGCUAAUAUUCUGUGAUCAUUCAUUAUUUGGUUUUCACUUUCUGAGCUGAUUUAAAAAGGCCGUGCUCUAACUGUACCAGUGGCCUCCAAGAUAUGAGCCUGAUUUACACUUCGAAAAUGUGAGCGGCCCCGUGGCUGUGUUUCUAGGAUGAGGAUGUGCUAUGGUGAGGACUUUCGGGGCAGCAAACACAGUACCUGUGGACAAGAUCUUGCAGGUUACUCCUACUUACCUGCUUGGCCUAGUAAAGUAUUAUCACUGACACAAGCAGUGACUUUUCCAUGUGCUACAGCAAUAGUGGUGAC